rnacentral:misc_RNA from 1 species
AAUGCAAGCAAGUUGGGUCUGAAGGAUGAGGAAAUGCUGAGGAGUGUAGAUAAAAGCAUUAAAGACGUAUACUUCAGAGCUGCAACUUUGAUGGCGAUAGCUGUGCUGAAGCUUGCAUGAUCAUGGAGUGGGUAUAAUGUCUCGAGUCUUGACACAUAAAAGCCGAUGGUUUGAAUAACAUAAAGGCCCAUGACUAUGACUGUAAAUUAUGUAGCCAAUAGUCAUGUUAAAGCUAUGAUUAGAGGGCUCAUUCUUAUUGCAAUUGCAAGUUUGUCUCAGACUGGCAAGCUGAAGUCAUAUCUGAUAAGAGACGGGAAACCUUAACAUGGGGUUGAGCUCCAAUGAGACUGAGCUGUGUCCCAUAAUCGGUUAG